rnacentral:rRNA from 1 species
GUAACACGUGGGUAACCUGCCCUAAAGUGGGGGAUAACAUUUGGAAACAGAUGCUAAUACCGCAUAAAACCUAACACCGCAUGGUGUAGGGUUGAAAGAUGGUUUCGGCUAUCACUUUAGGAUGGACCCGCGGUGCAUUAGUUAGUUGGUGAGGUAAAGGCUCACCAAGACCGUGAUGCAUAGCCGACCUGAGAGGGUAAUCGGCCACACUGGGACUGAGACACGGCCCAGACUCCUACGGGAGGCAGCAGUAGGGAAUCUUCCACAAUGGACGAAAGUCUGAUGGAGCAACGCCGCGUGAGUGAAGAAGGUUUUCGGAUCGUAAAACUCUGUUGUUGGAGAAGAAUGUAUCUGAUAGUAACUGAUCAGGUAGUGACGGUAUCCAACCA